GACUGAUUCAAAAUUACAAAAGUCAGCCUGACAUGGUAGACCUUUAAAUUCUAGCUCUCAGGAGGCAGAGGCAGGCAGAUCUCUGUAAAUUCAAGGUCAGCCUAACCUCAUAUCAAGUUCCAGGCCCAACAGAGGUACAGUGAGAACCCUGUCACAAUAAAGUACAAAGACUUCAAAAAUAUCUGAGGUUGUAGCUUAGUGGUAAAGCACUGGCCUAGAAUUGGUGAGGCCCUGGGUUUGAUUCCCCAAUACUGAAGGAAAAGAAGAUCUAAAGCAACUAUUUUUCACUUUUUAGAAGAAACUUGCAAUUCCUUUGUAUAAGACAAGCAACAGAGUCGGUUCAGGAGUGAGUGUUGCAUUUUCACAGACCUUGGAGAGGAGUCAUGUAGCCUUGACCUGGGUUUUAAAGGAUACAGGCCUUGGGUAGAGAGAGUCAGCAGCCUGGGGUUAGACAUCGACCACUCCCACCCCCAACCUGGUCUUUCUGAACACAGUAACAAGUGUCCAGAUGUCUCUCUGUCACUAUCUACAGCAGACUACCUCAGAAGACAACCACCUAGGCCUCCUACUUGCCCUGUUUCCGGUCAAAUAUCAUGUCAAAUAAGUGUCACCCUGGAAGACACUUUUUCCUUUUCUCCUAUAUUUGUUAUUUUAAUUUCUAAAUUUGUGUGCCUAUAUACAUGUGUGUCUGUGUACUUGGCAAGCUGUUUGUGUGAGUUAGAAUUCUCUUUGUUCACCAUGUGGGUUCCAGGGAUUGAACUCAGUCCUUGGGCUUGGUGGCAAGCCACCUCACUGACUGAUUCUUUUAAGAUCUCUCUCUCUCUCUCUCUCUCUCUCUCUCUCUAAGAUUUAUUUGUUUUCUAUAUAUGAGUACACUGUCCCUGUCUUCAGACACAACUGCAGAGAGC
rnacentral:lncRNA from 1 species